AACGGUCAUACCAUGCUGAAUAUACCGGUUCUCGUUAGAUCACCGAAGUCAAGCAUCAUUGGGCGCGGUCAGUACUUGGGUGGGUGACCACCUGGGAACACCGCGUGCAGU
rnacentral:rRNA from 1 species